UAGAGCUUGAAUAGCUCUGAAUAAGCUGGUAAAAUAAGAUUCUGGAUCUGGAAAGCUGAGUGUGACCCUGAUCUGCA
rfam:Choloepus hoffmanni cont1.370354, whole genome shotgun sequence.